rnacentral:lncRNA from 1 species
CCACAAUUCAUUUUUCUGUCUCAGUUGAGAUUGUAUUUAUACCACCUGCUGUGCCUGUGGGAAUGGAAUCUAUAGUAGUGUCUUUAGACACAAACUUUCUCUUAGUCUCUUUCCUUUUUCUAUUCAGUAUGAUAGGUUUUUUUUUUUUUUUCUAGGAGGAGUAGCCUAUGGCACUUGGCUGAAGAGAUGAGACUUCAAUGAGAUAUAGGAGACAAAGAGUGACAAAUUAAAAUGACAAGGCUGUCUUAUAAGAUUGUGAGCCAGUGAAAUGAAGUAUUUCUUGCCCAGUCAAUGUAGACAGCAUUAUGCUAUGUGGUAAUAGAUUGCAAGACCUGGGCAGCCUGUAUAUGUCUUUGAGAUAACUGAAUUUGUCACUAUCAACACUCUCCCAAAAUGUGUCUCUCCUGGCUUUUGAGAAUAGGAGUACGAACAAAGGUAUUCAUAUUGUUUCACUCAGUUCCCAGUUUUGGAUUUUCCCAAUGUGUUAAGCAGAGGAAAAUAAAAGAUAAAUCAUAAAAUGUCAAAAAAAAAUUUAAACACGCAUAAAAUGUAAGACCCGAAUUUGACUUACUUCUCAGAUUCAUGCAGAUUGUCUGGCUAAUUUCUACAGUUGAGUUCUGACUGUGAAGUGGCAUUGAGGUUCAGCAGGACACACUUUCUGUAUAUAUCCAUGGCUGGUUGUGCAAUUGGUUGUACAAGAGAAAGAAAAUGGAGGAGGAGGAAAGAAGAGUCAGAAGAAAGAGGAAGAGGAGAGGCUCCAGCAAACAUGUGCCUCCUACUCUGCCUAAGUCACCAAGGAUGUGAUUUUAACAGAACUGAAUGA